GCUGACCGUGCAGGUGACGCCGGCGCCGGGUCCCUCGUGUGUGGCACCGUCCCCGCCGGCGCUCGCAGGCCGUACCCGGCCGAUUCCUGGCAGCUGCGAGCGACGCCUGUGCCGGCCGUCACGUCCCAUUCCGCUCCCCGGGCCGCCCGGUGAGAGAAGGACACAGGAUGCGCCGGGAGUGAAAGAGCGAGGUCGGCGGGGAGCGUGCCAAGUCCCCUCGCACAGCUCCGGGCCGCUCGGGGAGCCAGAGGGAAACUCGCCUUUGCAGAGUUCAGAGGCCGGCAGCGAGAUUUAUUUUUGUUUGUGUGGGAUGUUUUCAACCGUUCAGGAAACCCGACCGCUCCCAGCGCGCAGCGGAGGCACAAAGGACAGGAGGGGACACCGAGCAGAGCGCACCGAGGGCCGUGCCAAGCGCGGGGGUGGGUGGAGGCACAGGACGUGGCCCCGCUCCACCUGCCCGCCCGGCCUCCCGCAGCCACCCUGGAAGCCCCAGGCAGGCGGCAAAGGGCUGCCCGUUGCAACAAGGGCUGCAGGAGGCUGAGACCGAAAGCCACAUCACCCCAUCUCGUCUGCUCAGGGUGCCGUUCCGGAGCUGAGCUCCGUCUGCUUUUUCACCCCUAUUUCCUAUUCACUCUGCUUGUACCCACACUUCCCCACCGAGCCACGGCAGUGAGGGAAGCACAAUAAAGCCUCAAUGUGCAGCACCGACCACGGCGAUGUCUGCGUUUGGGAGCUGCAAGAGGGACAAGCAGGGUUGCCUGGUCAGCACAGAGCCUGGGACAAGCAGUGAGCAGAUGGUCCACAUUGGUGGCACAGGUGGGCAGCAAGAGGUGGGGAAGAAGGCAGUGCCCAAAAACCCAUCAGAGAGAAAGUGGAGAGAAACACAGCUCUGCAGGGUGCAGGUGAGGCCGUCACACCACGCUCCCUACGGGCACACCAAACCAUGCCAAGAGAUGGCCACAGGGAUGGCAGUGGGAAACCUCAGAGAUUAAAACGCUUAGAAAGAAGAUGAGCGGCCAAGAGAUGGAGGCUUCUCCCCGAACCCUGCACUGCCAGGCUCUGCAGGGGGCACUGGGCUGCCGGGGCUGUCGGGGCCAUGCCCCCAUCACAGCACAUGGAUGUGCACGGAGAGCUGGGGGUCCCGGUUGUGCUGACACAGGAGCUGCGUCUGCUGGAUCCCAGUGAAUACACGGGGCUGCUGCUGCUCAUCCCACUGUGAGAAUCCCAGAGACGAGCUAGAGCUACGGGAUGAAACCUGGAAGGCAGCAGGUCCCAGGAAGCAUAAAUCCCUCAAGAAAACCAGAGGCCCACAGGUCAAGGCAGGAAGAUCCGAGGGGUGCGGCGCAGGGCCGGCUUCGGCCCGGCCUCCCCAUCCCGGCUCUGGGCCGCACACAUGUUGUGCUGCGGGCUGUUCCCAGCCAGCCACGGCCUGGCUGACUUUAGCAAAGCCCCCGAGGACUUUUCUCCUCCACCCAAGCUCCGACUGCACCUCAGCUCUCAGCUGUGCAGCCCCCGAAGCUGCCCACACCCUCAUGUUGACCUCUCUCUGCCUUCGAGAGGAGGCUCAGGAGGAAGGGAGGAGAGGGCCGGGGAGAAAGCCCCUGACACAUCAGGCAGCCCCCACGCUCCCCACAGAAGGGGCAGCGGCCAUCCCGGGGGCCCCGGCGCAGCUGGGCCGGGAUCUGCGUGCACUGCCCUCCCCAAACAUGUGCAGUUCCUGUUUGCUGUGUCUGUACAAGGCGGUGGGAAGUGGGGAAUUUACUUACACCUCCCGCUUAACAACCCUGGGAGGCUGGAAGGCUUCAGGCCGCUUUAAUUUACAGCCCAUCUCUCCGAUCUCUCACUCAUUCGCUGCUGCUUUCUUCCUUAUUGUAUUAAUGUGACCCAGGUACCUGCCAACAAUAAUGGACUCGCUUGCGGGGGCGGCCCCUCCCUCCCGGCACAAUUAAUACCUUUGCCUUGAUAUGAAUUUCUCAACAUUCAAAUGCAAAAGAAAAAAAAAAAAAAAAAAAGAAGAAAAAGAAGA